rnacentral:rRNA from 1 species
UGUAUAGUAAUAGCUGAUUGCGUUAACAAAUAGUUGAUGCAAGAUUGACUCUGUCAAAUAAAAUUCUAGGCAGAAUUAUGAUAAUGACAUUGUCUGCCUAUAUGUCUUGACCAAAUUACGUGCCAGCUGUCGCGGUAAUACGUAGAAGACUAGUGUUAUUCAUCUUUAAUAGGUUUAAAGGGUACCUAGACGGUAAAUAAAGCCUUAGUCGGGACUAAUUUGCUAGAGUUACUUAUGAGGGGGUAUUAAAGUACUGAUGGUGUAGAGAUGAAAUUCUGUCAUACCUCUUUUCGAAAGAAAAAUUACGGCACAGGUAUAGGCGAAAGCAUCCCCUUAUGUGAUAACUGACGUUGAGGGACGAAGGCUUUGUGUAGCGAACAGGAUUAGAUACCCCAAUAGUCAAAGCAGAGAAUGAUGAAUGUCAUAGAUUAGAUUAUUAGUUUAUUCUAUAAAUGAAAGUGUAAGCAUUCCACCUUAAGAGUAAUUUGGCAACAUUGGAACUGAAAUCAUUAGACCGUUUCUGAAACCAGUAGUGAAGUAUGUUGUUUAAUUUGAUAAUCCGCAAAAAACCUUACCACAAUUUGAAUAUUUAUAUUUACCUUUUUCUUUAGUCUAAAGAAAAAGGUUAUAUAUUUACAAGCGUUGCACGGCUGUCUUCAGUUAAUGUCGCGAGACUUUGGUUAGCUCCAUGAAAUUAACGUAAACCCUUACUUUAUUUUUAUAUAAAGUAGUUCCCCGCUAUAUUGGAUCUGAUAAC